rnacentral:lncRNA from 1 species
GGGAAUAAAGAAUGUAAGAGGAGGCAAUGCAAUCUCUUCUUUCUCGUUGAUGGGGAUAGAGAGAGGGGCUAUCUGAGUUGAUUACAUGUAAAUAAGCCUUAGGAUUUUUUUUUCUUUAAGGACCAUCUGGAAGAGGCAGCUGUACUGCAUCUUCACUAAAGCUAGAAGAGGAAGUAGUGGGCUUAAGCUUCCACACAGGGAUUUGGGUUAAAUAUAAGAAAAUAUUUCCUUACAAGAAGAUUUGUAAACAUUGGUACUGGGUAAAGAAGGAGGUGGCGUAAUCACAUUCCCUGGAGGACUUUACCACAGAAGAGAUUGCUGUCAAAUUAAGAUGAUUUUCUGUGCGUGCCUACAAGAAGCAGAGAAUGGGCACCCAUGGAACCAGGACAUCUCUGCAUUAAUAAGGACCUGAAAGACACUUAGCUGAAACACCCAUUUUACAGGUGUCGCAUACAAGUGUGAGCAGAGGAAAACUGGCCGGCUGCCUCCAAGCGUCCUCACAGCAACAGCAUUUUCACCCUCAGCCUCUCAAGCUCAGAAGCCUAAUGUUUUCAGGGCAAAUACAGGCUCUUAGUGUAAACUCACGGUAAUUAAACUUUCAAACAGAUGUCUAAAACCAGAAUCCAACUACAAAUAGGCCUGCCACGAUGUCGCCA